UCCAGCGUAGCUCAACUGGUAGAGCAUCCGGCUGUUAACCGGAGGGUCACAGGUUCGAGUCCUGUCGCUGGAGCCA
rnacentral:tRNA from 1 species